CCUACGGGUGGCAGCAGUGAGGAAUAUUGGUCAAUGGACGCAAGUCUGAACCAGCCAUGCCGCGUGCGGGAAGAAGGCUCUAUGAGUUGUAAACUUCUUUUAUACGAGCGUAAACUCCGAGACGCGUAUCGUUCUGUAAGUAUCUUACGAAUAAGGAUCGGCUAACUCCGUGCCAGCAGCCGCGGUAAUACGGAGGAUUCAAGCGUUAUCCGGAUUUAUUGGGUUUAAAGGGUGCGUAGGCGGUCGGAUAAGUUAGAGGUGAAAUCCUGAGGCUCAACCACGGAAUUGCCGUUGAUACUGUGCGGCUAGAGAGUGGUUGCGGCAGGCGGAAUGCAUGGUGUAGCGGUGAAAUGCUUAGAGAUCACACAGAACACCGAUUGCGAAGGCAGCUUACUAAACCGUGACUGACACUGAUGCACGAAAGUGUGGGUAUCAAACAGGAUUAGAUACCCGAGUAGUC
rnacentral:rRNA from 1 species